GUGCCAGCAGCCGCGGUAAUACAGAGGUGGCAAGCGUUGUUCGGAUUUACUGGGCGUAAAGGGUGCGUAGGAGGUCGUGUGUGUCGGAUGUGAAAUCUUGCUGUUCAUCGGCAAAACUGCAUUCGAAACUACACGACUAGAGUGCAGGAGAGGAGAGCAGAAUUCUCGGUGUAGCGGUGAAAUGCGUUGAUAUCGAGAGGAAUGCCGGUGGUGAAGACGGCUCUCUGGACUGUAACUGACUCUGAGGCACGAAAGCUAGGGGAGCAAACAGGAUUAGAAACCCGCGUAGUCC
rnacentral:rRNA from 1 species